rnacentral:siRNA from 1 species
UCAGUUUCACGGGCUUGCUCCA